GAUGAACGCUAGCGGGAGGCUUAACACAUGCAAGUCGAGGGGUAGUCCCGAUUUAUCGGGACGAGACCGGCGGACGGGUGCGUAACGCGUAUGCAACAUGCCUUGUGCAGGGGGAUAGCCCGUGGAAACGCGGAUUAAUAUUCCAUAGAUCAGUAAUAUCGCAUGGUAUAACUGGUAAAGUUGAGGCGGCACAAGAUUGGCAUGCGUCUGAUUAGUUAGUUGGUAGGGUAACGGCCUACCAAGGCGACGAUCAGUAGGGGUUCUGAGAGGAACAACCCCCACACUGGUACUGAGACACGGACCAGACUCCUACGGGAGGCUG
rnacentral:rRNA from 1 species